rnacentral:rRNA from 1 species
GACGAACGCUGGCGGCGCGCUUAACACAUGCAAGUCGAACGGUAAGGCCCUUCGGGGUACACGAGUGGCGAACGGGUGAGUAACACGUGGGUGAUCUGCCCUGCACUUCGGGAUAAGCCUGGGAAACUGUGUCUAAUACCGGAUAGGACCACUGCCUGCAUGGGUGGUGGUGGAAAGCUUUUGCGGUGUGGGAUGGGCCCGCGGCCUAUCAGCUUGUUGGUGGGGUGAUGGCCUACCAAGGCGACGACGGGUAGCCGGCCUGAGAGGGUGACCGGCCACACUGGGACUGAGAUACGGCCCAGACUCCGACGGGAGGCAGCAGUGGGGAAUAUUGCACAAUGGGCGCAAGCCUGAUGCAGCGACGCCGCGUGAGGGAUGACGGCCUUCGGGUUGUAAACCUCUUUCAGCACCGACGAAGCGCAAGUGACGGUAGGUGCAGAAGAAGGACCGGCCAACUACGUGCCAGCCGCCGCAGUAA